rnacentral:rRNA from 1 species
UUUUUUUCCCCCCCGGACUAGCAUAUCAAUAAGCGGAGGAAAAGAAACCAACCGGGAUUGCCCUAGUAACGGCGAGUGAAGCGGCAACAGCUCAAAUUUGAAAUCUGGCCCUAGUGGUCCGAGUUGUAAUUUGUAGAGGAUGCUUUUGGUGCGGUACCUUCCGAGUUCCCUGGAACGGGACGCCAUAGAGGGUGAGAGCCCCGUCUGGUCGGAUACCAAUCCUCUGUAAAGCUCCUUCGACGAGUCGAGUAGUUUGGGAAUGCUGCUCAAAAUGGGAGGUAUAUGUCUUCUAAAGCUAAAUAUUGGCCAGAGACCGAUAGCGCACAAGUAGAGUGAUCGAAAGAUGAAAAGCACUUUGAAAAGAGGGUUAAAUAGUACGUGAAAUUGUUGAAAGGGAAGCGUUUGUGACCAGACUUGGGCCCGGUUAAUCAUCCGGCGUUCUCGCCGGUGCACUUUGCCGGCCCAGGCCAGCAUCAGUUCGCUGCGGGGGAAAAAGGCUUCGGGAAUGUGGCUCCUCUGGAGUGUUAUAGCCCGCUGCGUAAUACCCUGUGGUGGACUGAGGUUCGCGCAUCUGCAAGGAUGCUGGCGUAAUGGUCAUCAACGACCCGUCUUGAAACACGGACCAAGGAGUCGUCUUCGUAUGCGAGUGUUCGGGUGUCAAACCCCUACGCGUAAUGAAAGUGAACGGAGGUGGGAGCCUCGGCGCACCAUCGACCGAUCCUGAUGUUUUCGGAUGGAUUUGAGUAAGAGCAUACGGGGCCGGACCCGAAAGAAGGUGAACUAUGCCUGUAUAGGGUGAAGCCAGAGGAAACUCUGGUGGAGGCUCGCAGCGGUUCUGACGUGCAAAUCGAUCGUCAAAUAUGGGCAUGGGGGCGAAAGACUAAUCGAACCUUCUAGUAGCUGGUUUCCGCCGAAGUCUCCUCCUCCAGGAGAUA